rnacentral:rRNA from 1 species
CCUACGGGAUGCAGCAGUGGGGAAUAUUGCACAAUGGGGGAAACCCUGAUGCAGCAACGCCGCGUGAGUGAUGACGGCCUUCGGGUUGUACAGAUCUGUCUUCAGGGAUGAUAAUGCAGGUACCUGAGGAGGAAGCCACGGCUAACUACGUGCCAGCAGCCGCGGUAAUACGUAGGGGGCGAGCGUUGUCCGGAUUUACUGGGGUUAAAGGGAGCGUAGGCGGACGUUUAAGUUAGAUGUGAAAUACUCGGGCUCAACUUGAGUGCUGCAUUUCAAACUGGAAGUCUAGAGUGAAGGAGAGGAGAAUGGAAUGGCUAGUGUAGCGGGGAAAUGCGUAGAGAUUAGGAAGAACACCAGUGGCGAAGGCGAUUCUCUGGACUGUAACUGACGCUGAGGCUCGAAAGCGUGGGGAGCAAACAGGAUUAGAUACCCGGGGAGUC